rnacentral:rRNA from 1 species
UGGGGAAUAUUGCACAAUGGGCGCAAGCCUGAUGCAGCCAUGCCGCGUGUAUGAAGAAGGCCUUCGGGUUGUAAAGUACUUUCAGCGGGGAGGAAGGUGUUGUGGUUAAUAACCACAGCAAUUGACGUUACCCGCAGAAGAAGCACCGGCUAACUCCGUGCCAGCAGCCGCGGUAAUACGGAGGGUGCAAGCGUUAAUCGGAAUUACUGGGCGUAAAGCGCACGCAGGCGGUCUGUCAAGUCGGAUGUGAAAUCCCCGGGCUCAACCUGGGAACUGCAUCCGAAACUGGCAGGCUUGAGUCUUGUAGAGGGGGGUAGAAUUCCAGGUGUAGCGGUGAAAUGCGUAGAGAUCUGGAGGAAUGCCGGUGGCGAAGGCG